UACGUAGGGUGCAAGCGUUGUCCGGAAUUAUUGGGCGUAAAGAGCUCGUAGGCGGUUUGUUGCGUCGGCUGUGAAAUCCCGAGGCUCAACCUCGGGUCUGCAGUCGAUACGAGCAAACUAGAGUGUUGCAGGGGAGACUGGGAAUUCCUGGUGUAGCGGUGAAAUGCGCAGAUAUCAGGAGGAACACCGGUGGCGAAGGCGGGUCUCUGGGCCGAUAUUGACGCUGGAGGAGCGAAAGCGUGGGGAGCGAACAGGA
rnacentral:rRNA from 1 species